UACGUAGGGGGCUAGCGUUGUCCGGAAUCAUUGGGCGUAAAGAGCGUGUAGGCGGUCCGGUAAGUCCGCUGUGAAAGUCGGGGGCUCAACCCUCGAAUGCCGGUGGAUACUGUCGGGCUAGAGUGCGGAAGAGGCGAGUGGAAUUCCUGGUGGUAGCGGUGAAAUGCGCAGAUAUCAGGAGGAACACCUAUUGCGAAGGCAGCUCGCUGGGACGUAACUGACGCUGAGACGCGAAGACGUGGGAGG
rnacentral:rRNA from 1 species